UACAUGGGGUGCAAACGUUGCUCGGAAUUAUUGGGCGUAAAGCGCACGUAGGCGGUUUGUUAAGUCGGAUGUGAAAUCCCUCGGCCCAACUGAGGAAGUGCAUCCGAAACUGGCAAGCUUGAGUACGAAAGAGGGUCGCGGAAUUCCCGGUGUAGAGGUGAAAUUCGUAGAUAUUCGGAAGAACACCAGUGGCGAAGGCGACUUACUGGACACAUAUUGACGCUGAGGUGCGAAAGCGUGGGGAGCAAACAGG
rnacentral:rRNA from 1 species